rnacentral:rRNA from 1 species
CCUACGGGAGGCAGCAGUGAGGAAUAUUGGACAAUGGGCGCAAGCCUGAUCCAGCCAUGCCGCGUGCAGGAAGACGGUCCUAUGGAUUGUAAACUGCUUUUGUACAGGAAGAAACACUCCCUCGUGAGGGAGCUUGACGGUACUGUAAGAAUAAGGAUCGGCUAACUCCGUGCCAGCAGCCGCGGUAAUACGGAGGAUCCAAGCGUUAUCCGGAAUCAUUGGGUUUAAAGGGUCCGUAGGCGGUUUAAUAAGUCAGUGGUGAAAUCUGGUCGCUCAACGAUCAAACGGCCAUUGAUACUGUUAGACUUGAAUUAUUAGGAAGUAACUAGAAUAUGUAGUGUAGCGGUGAAAUGCUUAGAUAUUACAUGGAAUACCAAUUGCGAAGGCAGGUUACUACUAAUGGAUUGACGCUGAUGGACGAAAGCGUGGGGAGCGAACAGGAUUAGAUACCCUGGUAGUCCACGACGUAACGA